rnacentral:rRNA from 1 species
UGAGCAAUCUGCCCUUCACAUCGGAAUAACCAUUGGAAACGAUGGCUAAUACCGAAUAUGACUUCGGAUCGCAUGAUCUGAAGUGGAAAGCUCCGGCGGUGAAGGAUGAGCUCGCGGCCUAUCAGCUUGUUGGUGAGGUAAUAGCUCACUAAGGCGAUGACGGGUAGCCGGCCUGAGAGGGUGACCGGCCACACUGGGACUGAGACACCGGCA